rnacentral:tRNA from 1 species
GCGGACGUGGCGGAACUGGUAUACGCGUACGCUUGAGGAGCGUAUCCCGAAAGGGGUGGAGGUUCAAGUCCUCUCGUUCGCACAA